CAGAAACCUGAAUGACAGUGAAUGAAAACAAAAAUAUUGCACACAGGGAGAAUAAAACAGUGAGGUGGGGUGGUUUCCAACCAGUCAACUUGUGUGCAGGAAAUGAUGUCACAAAACUGUGGGGAAAGUGGAUCGAAGUUGAUUAGGGUGCACAUUCUGGUGUAUCUGCUAGCUCUACCAUUCUGCGAGUCUUUCCUCCCAAACUUCUGGUCCCGUGUGUUAACCCUUUCCUGGAAGUCCAACACACAUCAGGAGAUGACUGAGCAGGCCAUCCUCAACAUCACCCUUGAGACGUUGAGCAGCAUCAACACACAUAAGCAUGCCCAUAGACAGAACCAAAUGAAGUCUGACCUGGGUCGGGGGUUCUGGCGAGCUGUGGGGGAGGUGGUCAAGUCAAAUGCAGCCAUGGACUUCCUGAGCUCCACUCGCUCCAAUCCGGUGUACCACUUUGACUCUGAACGUAUUGAGGACGCUAAAAAGAUGCUGCAGUUGCUUCAGUCCCAGACUGUAUUAUCAGUGCAGGCUAAAGAUUACCAGGGGGCCCGCCACAGUCUGGGCCAGCUCUUCCACUCACUGCAGGACUUCUACAGUCACAGCAACUGGGUGGAGAUGGGCCAGCGUUCUAUCUACCUCCACCUCCUCAACCCAGACGAGCCUGCCCUUCCUGUAGCCACAGAGGACACUCCUACCUGUAUGGAGUGUUUCAGUGCCACCUGCAGAGACAACCUCCUACAGGCUCAGCAGCGCCCCCUGAUGCUCACUACUGGCUACUUCAGCAGUGAUCCUCCCAAACCUCAAGGAAAGUGCAGUCAUGGUGGGAUCCUGGACAGCAGUCGCCAUCAGGGCGCUAAGGGGGGCAUCAACAAGGACAGUACCUCUCCCCUCUUCUCCCCUCACCACUACCUCCAUGCCCAGGCAGCCAGACUCGCAACCGCGGCAACCAUCAAUGUUUUGAGAGACCUUCGAGACAAUGCUGGCCCCUCAAGCUUCCUCCGGCUCUUCAGUGUGAAGCAGCCACCAGCAUUAGUGUUCGUCAUGGAUACGACAGGCAGUAUGUUUGAGGAGAUCUCCGCGGCCCGCCGGCGUGCCCUCUCCAUCAUCCAGGCUCGUGCCGACAGCCUUGAGCAGCGUGGCACCUUCCUGCUGGUGCCCUUCCAUGACCCAGAUGUUGGACCAGUGUUAGAGACCGAUGACCCAGACCAGUUUAUGCUCUACAUGGAGAAUCUGAUGGCUCUGGGAGGAGGAGACGAACCAGAGAUGUGCCUCACUGCCAUCCAGCUGGCCCUCACUCAUAGCCCAGCCCUAUCUGAGAUAUUUGUUUUCACUGAUGCCUCCCCUAAAGAUGCCCAUCUGUACAGUGCAGUGAAGGCCCUCACACUAGAGAAACAAUGUAAGGUGACCUUCCUCCUCACUGAAGACCCCAGUCUGGAGAUGGUGAGCCGAGGGAGGAGAGAGACUCUCUCCCCAAACCGCUUCUCCCUCUACACCUCCCUGUCCUCUGUGUCCGGAGGCCUCACUAUCUUCACCUCCAACUCAGACAUCUACAGAGUCUCUACCAUAGUGGAGGACAAAACCUCUGCUGACAAGGUCACUCUGCUACAUGCAGAGAGUGACAGUGCCUCUGUGUCCAUCCACUCCUUCAGAGUGGACAGUGCAGUGAACACUGUGACCCUGCAUAUCACUGGAGACCUCACCGAAUAUACCCUGACCAGUCCAACAGGUCGUAGCCAGUCUCUGUUGCAACACCAGAGUCCCCUGGCAGAGCUGCAGCAGUCCAGGGGUCUGUAUCGGAUCAGUUUACUGUCCCCUGUGGAGCUAGGCCAGUGGCAGAUGACCUACCGGGCAGAGGGACACACCACUUUCAAAGCCAUAGGUGACAGCAGUGUAGACUUUCUGUAUUACUUUGCUGUGGAAGCCAAUGAAACACAUCCAGGCCUGGCCAGGGUAGAGGGGAAUCCAGUUGCAGGUGUUCCAAUGUUUCUAGUCCUGGUUGUAACCGGCAUUUUGCCCAAUGAGGAGGUGUUUUUCAGUCACGUGACUCUUCUUGGAGCCAAUGGGGAGAGCCUCCAAUUAAUCUCACUUAACUCCUCCUCUGCAUUUGGGGAGGAGCUUGUAGGCAGAAUGGACUCAGUUCCCAGAGAGCCCUUCUGUGUUAGACUGUCAGGUAGAGACAGGAAUGGGAACGAACUGCAGAGGAUCUCUACAGAGAUGAUACAGCCAACUCAUGUUCAGAUACAGGCGCUGUCAGCCCCACGCCAGGUCCCUGGUCACACCACGUCAGUAGAUUUUAAUGUCCUGAACCAUGGGCCAGCCCGCCUCUUUUCUCUGACUGCUGUUGACGACCAUGGAUACCUCUCCCAGAGAGGACCUCAGUUGUUCCCAGUGGGAGAAAUGGGGUCUAUUAGAGACAAAGUGGACAUCCACAUUCCAGGAGAAGCAGAGGCAGGAGCGGCAGUCACACUGACCCUUACAGUGGAAGCUUUGGACUCUGCAGACUCCAACUAUGCAGUUCUCCACUUGAUUGUUGUCCCCCUGGAUUUGGACAUGUCCCCCCCAUCCUGCUCCCCUACACCUGCGAAGCAAACCUGUCCAUCUCAGUGCACAGGCUCUAGCUGGAGUGUUAAUCUUGCUGUCACAGACGAGGGGCACUCAGGCCUUUCUUCUCUCCAACUCAACCUGGGCCAGGGCACCCUCACCCUGCUGCAUGGCCCUGCAGCUCUGGGAGAUGGGCCUGAGGAGGACCAGCCCAGUCUCAGCAAGGAUCAGGAGACUGGGGAGCAGGGAGGUCAAAAACAGGAAAGGCCCAAGUUGAAACAAGGUGACCCCGCCAUGAACGUGUCGGCGUGGGUCGGAGAGUCAGGCCACUUGCCCCUGUGGGUGACAUACAGCUCCAGCUGCUGCUCCCCACAGGCUGAGCUUCUGGUGUGGGACAGGGCCGGAAAUAUGAGACGCUGCCAUCUGACCUCCAGCCAGCAGAGGGGGUUUGAGGAGAGAAGCGAGGAGACAAACAGAAGUGGAAACACAACAGCAGGCAAUGUUUUGUUGCUUUUGAGUACUCUUUUCAUGAUAAUUUUGUAGUUCAACAUGGAGCAUGAGCAAUUCAGCUGUACAGAUAUGGACUGUACAUGGAACAGGCCAACAGUGACUCAAGUAGCAUUCUCAGGAUACUCCCAUAGUGAAGGACUCACCCCAGAUCCUGGUGAUAUUCCCCUGGACACUGCUGUGGACCACCACACAGCUAUAGCUCAGGGAGUGCUGGGAUCCCAGUGGGACAGCCAGACUGGUCCUGAGCUGGUAGGUACCGUCUUCAUUGGGCAACACCUCUCCUCUCCUCACCCCCUGCACCAGGGGGUGCCCCUCCUCACCCAGCCACUCCACCUGUACCUCCCUCGGGUGGAACCCUGUCACAUGACAUGUGACCUCCACCUCAGAGCUGCUAGAUCUUUCAAACAAGCUGACAUCAGGAGCUGGGAAGAGAUUGGAACAGGUCGUCACAUACUGUACACUAAGGACUGAGAUCAAAUAUUAGGUUAGGUUGGAAAGAAGUGAUAGUUUCAGAAAAGGGUUUGAUUUGAAAGCUAAAGUCUACUAAUCAGGUUAACACCUCCCUGAGGUUAACCAAAAUGUGCCAAUGACUCCUUCAAUACCAUGCAUAUUUACCUUUGGAUUUCAGCAAUUUAGAACUGAACUGUAAUAGUUUCUUGAGCCAAAGGAUGCAUUCAGAUUCGUAAUGGUUGGUAAUUCGAACAAGAUCUUCUGAGUUU